AUACGGAGGAUCCGAGCGUUAUCCGGAUUUAUUGGGUUUAAAGGGUGCGCAGGCGGCCAUUUAAGUCAGCGGUUAAAUCGUGGGGCUCAACCCCAUUCUGCCGUUGAUACUGGGUGGCUUGAUUGCGGUCGAGGUUGGCGGAAUUCGUUGUGUAGCGGUGAAAUGCAUAGAUAUGACGAAGAACACCGAUUGCGUAGGCAGCUGACCAGACCGCAAAUGACGCUCAUGCACGAAAGUGCGGGGAUCGAACAGGAUUAGAUACCCUGGUAGUCCGCACAGUAAACGAUGAAUACGUGUUUUCGGCGAUAUAAUGUCGGAGGCAAAGCGAAAGCGAUAAGUAUUCCACCUGGGGAGUACGCCGGCAACGGUGAAACUCAAAUGAAUUGGCGGGG
rnacentral:rRNA from 1 species